UCCCUGGUGUCUCAGUGGGUUAAGGGUCCAACAUUAUCACUGCUGUGGCUCAGGUUUGAUUCCUGGCCUGGAAA
rnacentral:tRNA from 1 species